rfam:Pteropus alecto contig99062, whole genome shotgun sequence.
GGCUCCAUAGCGUAGUGGUCAGCAUGUCUGCUUUACACGCAGAAGGUCUUGGGUUCGCGCCCCACGUGGAGCCA